rnacentral:lncRNA from 1 species
AGGCAGAUACCUUCUCUACUCCUAUUCCCAGUUAGUUACAGGUGGAGGGGGAAGGGAGUGGAUUGAACAAGAAAUAUUUGCAAUUAAUUAUUGGUAAACAUUUAUGUAAUGCUUAUUCUGUUCAGUGUGUUGACUUUUAGUGCAAGGUAGAACACUGAAAAAGGCAUUUUAAAGUGCUUAUUAUGCGCUAAGCACUGAGGUUACUAAUAGGAAAAAAAAAAAGCAAUAUAGCCCCUACUCUUGAGGAUCUCAGGUCUAAUUGAGGGAUGCAACACAUAAAGCAAUUUCACCUGGUAGAAGUGUCCACUAAAAAUGGUUUGGUGGAUGGUAAGAACUUGAGUGCCUCAGUAGGUAAACACAUAUAGGCAGUAUCUAGGGGUCUGGAGAUUUUAGGUAUGAGCCCGAUGAUAAGACCCAGAGGAACUUCUAAAGACAGGGCUAAGGUCUAGUCAUUCUAUAUCUCACUGAGAUUAGAAUUGGUGACUCCCAUUUCUUCUAAAUAGGACUUACUAUCACUGAUUUUAACUGCCCACUCAAGAGCUAUCCAAGGUUAAGCCAUAGUUGUUAUCAUCAAAUGGCCAUUCCCUGGGUAAGGAAACACAAAGAAGCAAAGUGAUUUGUUAAAAGGAUUAGACAUCUAUAAAUAUAGACAAUAUUCAUGCAAAGCCUGGACUGAGACAGAUACCAAUUGAUGAUCAAACACAUUUAGAUGUUGAAACAAAAUCCUGGGUACUGUAAAAAGCCAGAAACCAAAGGAAUGGUGCUGGAAAUUGUCCAGAGAAAAACAACCAGGAUGAUCUAAGGAUUUCACUAAAACAAGACCAAAAUAGAAGAAAGAUUCCUUAUCUACAGAAAAAGAAGAGACAUCACUUAGAGAGUGUAAUGUCUGAAGGGGAGAAAGAACAAACAAGGACACAAAUGAAGGUGAGAAUGUUAUCAAUAUACAACAUGACAAGAUGAAAACACCGAAGAGA